AUUGAACGCUGGCGGCAGGCCUAACACAUGCAAGUCGAACGAGUGGCGGACGGGUGAGUAAUGUCUGGGAAACUGCCCGCUGGAGGGGGAUAACUACUGGAAACAGUAGCUAAUACCGCAUACUAUCGGAUGUGCCCCGAUGGGAUUAGCUAGUAGGUGGGGUAACGGCUCACCUAGGCGACGAUCCCUAGCUGGUCGGCGAGGAUGACCAGCCACCCGGGAACUUAGACACGGUCCAGACGCCUACGGGAGGCAGCAGUGGGGAAGAUGGCACAAUUGGAGAAAGGCUGAUGCAGCCAUGCCGCGUGUAUGAAGAAGGCCUUCGGGUUGUAAAGUACUUUCCGCGGGGAGGCGUUACUCGCAGAAGAAGCAUCGGCUAACUCCGUGCCAGCAGCCGCGGUAAUUC
rnacentral:rRNA from 1 species